GAUGAACGCUGGCGGCGUGCCUAAUACAUGCAAGUCGAGCGAACGGACGAGAAGCUUGCUUUUCUGAUGUUAGCGGCGGAUGGGUGAGUAACACGUGGAUAACCUACCUAUAAGACUGGGAUAACUUCGGGAAACCGGAGCUAAUACCGGAUAAUAUUUUGAACCGCAUGGUUCAAAAGUGAAAGACGGUCUUGCUGUCACUUAUAGAUGGAUCCGCGCUGCAUUAGCUAGUUGGUAAGGUAACGGCUUACCAAGGCAACGAUGCAUAGCCGACCUGAGAGGGUGAUCGGCCACACUGGAACUGAGACACGGUCCAGACUCCUACGGGAGGCAGCAGUAGGGAAUCUUCCGCAAUGGGCGAAAGCCUGACGGAGCAACGCCGCGUGAGUGAUGAAGGUCUUCGGAUCGUAAAACUCUGUUAUUAGGGAAGAACACAUGUGUAAGUAACUGUGCACAUCUUGACGGUACCUAAUCAGAAAGCCACGGCUAACUACGUG
rnacentral:rRNA from 1 species